rnacentral:rRNA from 1 species
UACGUAGGGUGCGAGCGUUGUCCGGAAUUACUGGGCGUAAAGAGCUCGUAGGUGGUUUGUCGCGUUGUCCGUGAAAACUCACAACUCAAUUGUGGGCGUGCGGGCGAUACGGGCAGACUGGAGUACUGCAGGGGAGAGCGGAACUCCUGGUGUAGCGGUGGAAUGCGCAGAUAUCAGGAGGAACACCGAUGGCGAAGGCAGAUCUCUGGGCCGUAACUGACGCUGAGGAGCGAAAGCAUGGGGAGCGAACAGG